AUCAUACAUUGGCUUGACAAAGAAGACGACAUGAAGCCGUGCGACUUCGCCUGUGAGAAUUCAACGCCAACUCGGUGUGGCGAGUCGCGACCAUUGUGACGAGGAAAAGUCCGCCCGAACAGACCGCUCGUGCGAGGAGAUUCGAGAAACAAGUCCUCCAACGCGUCUCGUCCGAACUUACCCACGGUACUUCG
rnacentral:rRNA from 1 species